rnacentral:rRNA from 1 species
GACGAACCGUGCGAACGUUGUUCGGAAUAACUGGGCUUAAAGGGUGCGUAGGCGGGUCCGCCAGUCUGUGGUGAAAUCCUCCCGCUCAACGAGAGAACUGCCGUGGAUACUGCGGACCUCGAGGAAGAUAGGGGCGUGCGGAACAGUUGGUGGAGCGGUGAAAUGCGUUGAUAUCAACUGGAACUCCGGUGGCGAAGGCGGCACGCGGGGUCUUUUCUGACGCUGAGGCACGAAAGCUAGGGGAGCAAACGGG